ACUCCUACGGGAGGCAGCAGUGAGGAAUAUUGGUCAAUGGAGGGAAACUCUGAACCAGCCAUCCCGCGUGUAGGAAGACGGCCUUAUGGGGUUGUAAAACUACUUUUUAUACAGGAAGAAAACGGUACCCUCGUGAGGGUGCCUGACGGUACUGUAGGAAUAAGCACCGGCUAACUCCGUGCCAGCAGCCGCGGUAAUACGGAGGGUGCGAGCGGUUAUCCGGAUUUAUUGGGUUUUAAAAGGGUCCGUAGGGCGGAUUAAAUAAGUCAGUGGUGAAAUUCCCAUCGCUUAACGAUGGAACU
rnacentral:rRNA from 1 species